rnacentral:rRNA from 1 species
UACAGAGGUCUCAAGCGUUGUUCGGAUUCAUUGGGCGUAAAGGGUGCGUAGGCGGCGCGGUAAGUCGGGUGUGAAAUCUCGGAGCUUAACUCCGAAACUGCAUUCGAUACUGCCGUGCUUGAGGACUGGAGAGGAGACUGGAAUUCCCAGUGUAGCGGUGAAAUGCGUAGAUAUUGGGAGGAACACCAGUGGCGAAGGCGGCUCACUGGACCGGUACUGACGCUGAUGCGCGAAAGCGUGGGGAGCAAACAGG